GACGAACGCUGGCGGCGCGCCUAACACAUGCAAGUCGAACGAGCGAGAGAGAGCUUGCUUUCUCGAGCGAGUGGCGCACGGGUGAGUAACGCGUGAGGAACCUGCCUCAAAGAGGGGGACAACAGUUGGAAACGACUGCUAAUACCGCAUAAGCCCACGACCCGGCAUCGGGUCGAGGGAAAAGGGGCAAUCCGCUUUGAGAUGGCCUCGCGUCCGAUUAGCUAGUUGGUGAGGUAACGGCCCACCAAGGCGAGGAUCGGUAGCCGGGCUGAGAGGUUGAGCGGCCACAUUGGGACUAAGCAACGGUCCAGAAUCCUACGGGAGGCAGCAGUGGGGGAUAUAGCACAAUCGGGGAAACGCUGAUGCAGCGACGACGGGUAGAGGAAGAAGGUCUUCGGAUUGUAAACUACGGUUGUUGAGGAAGAUAAUGACGGUACUCAAAAAGGAAGUGACGGCUAACUACGUG
rnacentral:rRNA from 1 species